rnacentral:rRNA from 1 species
UACAGAGGUCCCGAGCGUUGUUCGGAUUCACUGGGCGUAAAGGGUGCGUAGGCGGGUCUUUAAGUCAGGGGUGAAAUCCUGGAGCUCAACUCCAGAACUGCCUUUGAUACUGAGGAUCUUGAGUACGGGAGAGGUGAGUGGAACUGCGAGUGUAGAGGUGAAAUUCGUAGAUAUUCGCAAGAACACCAGUGGCGAAGGCGGCUCACUGGCCCGUAACUGACGCUGAGGCACGAAAGCGUGGGGAGCAAACAGG